UCAGUGUCAUAAAAUGGAACAUACGUGUAAUUAAUACCACCGUGACGUGCAAUUUAACAAAUUAAUAUUUUGUCGCAGUGCGUGUGGCAUCAAUGAUAUUCUGUAGAUUUCACGAAACAAAUUUUAAUUGACCGUUUCAUAAAGAGAAAUAAAACACUGCUCCAUUUUUCGCCAGUUACAACGAACAGUGACCGAUCUCAGGACAUUUAACUAUGAGUUAGGUCCAGUCUAUGUCAUCGAGAUUGAUAAAAUAUUUAUGUAGUCAUUUUCAUCGAACCUUAAGCUUCAAAUUGAUGUAUCAUAAGUACUCUUUUACGAUACUUUUAUGUCAUCGAAUCGCGCCAGACUUUAUAUGCCUCGAAAUCGGUUAUUUCUCGAUGUAACUGGCAACAAGCCAUUUUAUAUAUUAGGAAUAUCGAUGAAACAUUUAUGUCAUUAUUUUCAGUAAACUUUAAGCCUCAAAUUAAGGGAAGCGUACGAUUAAUUCCACAUUGUUCUUAAUUUCAGACGAUGUAAUAUUUAUCACACGCUUCCUUCGAUCGUUUGUUCACGAUCACGACCGAGCGCGGUUGAAAGCCAACGCUCUCGUUGGCCAGUGUUUUUUCGUUAGUAAUUCAAAAACGAAGCUUCAACCAACAUUUUGGUAAAGGGAAAAAGUUGUUAAAAAUCACCUUAGCAACUCCCCAUUUCCGGGUGUUACGCGAGUUCUUGGAUACCAUGUAUUUUAUACAACGUUAUUAUAACUUUAUAUUUAUUUCCCUGACAAUUUUCACGUCCUACGUGAAUGUACGUUCAAUUCUAAGUAAAUGUACGCCUUUGGAAUCAAUCGUGUAGGUGUCUUUCGAAGGCUUUCAACUCGGAUCAAUUAUAAGAUUCCUUAAUGUGAUUUUAUGCGACGUCACCGUUUGAUACAUCAACCCAGAACUGAUUAUCGGUGAAAUUCUUUACCAAUGCCCAAUCUAGCAGAGCUUUCUUCGUACGCAAAAAUAAUCCGUGCAUUUGAUCGCGUUAUUUUAACGCCGUUUGAUCGUACAAAACAUACGCCCACGUGGAUCGUAUCUCCUUACGUACGGCAACCAGGAUCGUUUGAAAAGACUUUUAUCGUUCCUUAUUUUCCUGUUUGUUACAAUUAUGUAUCAGCAGAGUCGCUACUUUUCUACUUACUUUUUUUCUUUCACUUGUUGCUGGGUAUACAAAUAAAACGAAUAAAACGAUCCGUUCUAUUAUUAACAUUGCGUAAAAUAAAAUCUCGUGGUCUGAAUUUUAUAAACGAUACACUAACAGAAUAGGUGGUACUAAAAGAACUUUCGAUAAAAUUAUGUUAUCUACGGUGUAAAUUUUAUUUUAUCGCGUUUACAACGCGAGCAGGGAAGUUGCAAUGAAAUCUUUACGAUUUACUUCGGCAGGGUCUGCUCGAAAUUCGUCGGAAAAUAUAGUUGGCCGUUUCGAUGAUAAUGGAAAACCUAGGAUCUUAUUUCCACGUUCUUCUUCCAUUACGUUAUUUCGCUUCAGGAAUAAACCGAGAGUUCGAGCGGACCUCUCAGCAGAUUGUAAAUUGCUUUCUGAAAAAUGAGAAAUCGUGUCCGCGACGGAUCUAAAUCUAUUACUGAAAACAUGAAAAACAAACGGAAAGUUGUAUAACACUAUUUUUUCUCGAGAUUCUUUUAUUAUCUCUGCUAUGUUACGAUCGAUUUGCAUCUGUGACAGUUAAUUCGAUGAUUAGAAGUCAUGAUCACAAUGGCUAUUUGCCAGUUACGGUGAGCAAUGACCGAUUUCGAAAUAUAAAGUCUGACACGAUUCGAUGACAUAAAAGUAUCGCAAAAUAGCAUUUAUGAUAAAUCAAUUUAAAACUUAAACUUUCAUGAAAAUGACCAGCUAAAUCAAUUCUGACCAUUUCGUAUCCAGUUAUAUUUCUAAGGGAUAAUAGUUAAGGGUUAAGAGUCGUCGCUAAGAUACGACAAACAGAAUUCGCCAACUUUUUCCGCGCACCCUGAAGCGAUCCUUUUAAAUCCGAUAGUUGGCACUAAUCCAGCCAGUUCUGAGUUAUCGAUAUCAAUGAGAAAUAUUCGUUUAAUUUCACCGUCGCGCGCAUUGUCAAUAGAAAACUUCCAAUGUCUGAUUCUCUUUUAUAGAUGACCAAAGAAAUUCAUUUUUUCUUUUCGUAAGAAAGAAACCAACGUUAGCGUGUUUUGUGUUGCAUGGCGCAGUUAUCGAUGACAGAAUUCUAAUUACAGUAAGUAAGAAAAGUUGUUAUUGGAAGUUGAACUUAUGUGGGUUAACUCUUUCGAUAGCAUCAUUGCUAAAAUACCCGACCACGCGUUAUCGCGUGCUUUCUAUGUUAUUUUUAUGGUAAUUCAAUCAUUUUUCUUUGCAUCCUCGCGUUUAUCAAUGGAGAUGAUAAUGAAUUUAUUAAUAAGAAAUGAGAACCACUGCGUGGAGCUGAUGACUGGAAAGUCCCAAAGCGACUGACGAAGCAAAACAAAAGAGAUCUGGAUCCCAAUGACAAAAGCAAUAAUUUAGAUACCGAUGUUUAUCUUAUGAGUGCAGGAGAAAUUUUAGAGGAAUUUAACGUGUACGCAGGAGUACGUACACCUGGAUCAUGUAACAAGUUCAACGAGCUGAAACAAGAAACGACAAGAAGAAGACAUAGAGGGAAUGGAAGAGUUUCCAGGAAGCCAUACCGACAUCCUGGAGCUCAAUACUUUGUAAUGACUCAAUUUCUCGAAUUCCGUGAUGGGGAAACGAUUACCGAGUAAUCGGGAAAGCGCUUCCAG